AGGAUGAACGCUGGCGGUGUGCCUAAUACAUGCAAGUCGAACGAGACCUUCGGGUCGAGUGGCGGACGGGUGAGUAACACGUUGGUACCUACCCCGAAGUGGGGAAUAACUGCCCGAAAGGGUGGCUAAUACCGCAUAAUACCGCAAGGUUAAAGCGAGUAAUCGCGCUUCGGGAGGGGCCUGCGUCCCAUUAGCUAGUUGGUAGGGUAAUGGCCUACCAAGGCGACGAUGGGUAGCUGGAUCGAGAGGUUGACCAGCCACACUGGGACUGAGAUACGGCCCAGACUCCUACGGGAGGCAGCAGUAAGGAAUCUUCCACAAUGGACGAAAGUCUGAUGGAGCAACACCGCGUGCAGGAUGACGGUCUUCGGAUUGUAAACUGCUUUUAUAUGGGAAGAUUAUGACGGUACCAUAUGAAUAAGGACCGGCUAACUACGCGCCAGCAGCCGC
rnacentral:rRNA from 1 species